rnacentral:piRNA from 1 species
UCCUAGGAAGAGAUCAGGUGCACCAUUAG